rnacentral:rRNA from 1 species
UUCCGGUUGAUCCCGCCGGACCUGACUGCUAUCGGAUUGAUACUAAGCCAUGCGAGUCAUUGUAGCAAUACAAGGCAUACGGCUCAGUAACGCGUAGUCAACCUACCCUAUGGACGGGAAUAACCUCGGGAAACUGAGUAUAAUUCCCGAUAGAACAUUAUGCCUGGAAUGGUUUAUGUUCCAAAUGAUUUAUCGCCGUAGGAUGGGACUGCGGCCUAUCAGUUUGUUGGUGAGGUAAUGGCCCACCAAGACUAUUACAGGUACGGGCUCUGAGAGGAGUAGCCCGGAGAUGGGUACUGAGACACGGACCCAGGCCCUAUGGGGCGCAGCAGGCGAGAAAACUUUGCAAUGUGCGAAAGCACGACAAGGUUAAUCCGAGUGGUUUCUGCUAAAGGAACCUUUUGUCAGUCCUAAAAGCACUAACGAAUAAGGGGUGGGCAAGUUCUGGUGUCAGCCGCCGCGGUAAAACCAGCACCUCAAGUGGUCAGGAUGAUUAUUGGGCCUAAAGCAUCCGUAGCCUGCCCUGUAAGUUUUCGGUUAAAUCUGUAUGCUCAACAUACAGGCCGCCGGGAAUACUGCAGGGCUAGGGAGUGGGAGAGGUAGACGGUACUCGGGAGGAAGUGGUAAAAUGCUUUGAUCUCUCGAUGACCACCUGUGGCGAAGGCGGUCUACCAGAACACGUCCGACGGUGAGGGAUGAAAGCUGGGGGAGCAAACCGGAUUAGAUACCCGGGUAGUCCCAGCCGUAAACUAUGCAAACUCAGUGAUGCAUUGGCUUGUGGCCAAUGCAGUGUUGCAGGGAAGCCGUUAAGUUUGCCGCCUGGGAAGUACGUACGCAAGUAUGAAACUUAAAGGAAUUGGCGGGGGAGCAC